rnacentral:rRNA from 1 species
AUUGAACGCUGGCGGCAGGCUUAACACAUGAAAGUCGAGCGGAGUGAUGGUGCUUGCACUAUCACUUAGCGGCGGACGGGUGAGUAAUGCUUAGGAAUCUGCCUAUUAGUGGGGGACAACAUCUCGAAAGGGAUGCUAAUACCGCAUACGUCCUACGGGAGAAAGCAGGGGAUCACUUGUGACCUUGCGCUAAUAGAUGAGCCUAAGUCGGAUUAGCUAGUUGGUGGGGUAAAGGCCUACCAAGGCGACGAGCUGUAGCGGGUCUGAGAGGAUGGUCCGCGACGCUGGGACUGAGACACGGCUCAGUCUCCUACGGGAGGCAGCAGUGGGGAAUAUUGGACAAUGGGGGGAACCCUGAUCCAGCCAUGCCGCGUGUGUGAAGAAGGCCUUAUGGUUGUAAAGCACUUUAAGCGAGGAGGAGGCUCUUUUGGUUAAUACCCAAGAUGAGUGGACGUGACUCGCAGAAUAAGCACCGGCUAACUCUGUGCCAGCCGCCGCGGUAA